rfam:Ciona savignyi cont_3716, whole genome shotgun sequence.
GGGGAUGUAGCUCAGUGGUAGAGCGCACGCUUUGCAUGUGUGAGGGCCCGGGGUUCAAUUCCCGGCAUCUCCA